rnacentral:rRNA from 1 species
AGCGAACGCUGGCGGCAGGCCUAACACAUGCAAGUCGAACGAACCUUUCGGGGUUAGUGGCGGACGGGUGAGUAACACGUGGGAACGUGCCUUUAGGUUCGGAAUAACUCAGGGAAACUUGUGCUAAUACCGAAUGUGCCCUUCGGGGGAAAGAUUUAUCGCCUUUAGAGCGGCCCGCGUCUGAUUAGCUAGUUGGUUGAGGUAAUGGCUCACCAAGGCGACGAUCAGUAGCUGGUCUGAGAGGAUGAUCAGCCACAUUGGGACUGAGACACGGCCCAAACUUCCUACGGAAGCAGCCGGUGGGAAUCUUGCGCAAUGGGCGAAAGCCUGACGCAGCCAUGCCGCGUGAAUGAUGAAGGUCUUAGGAUUGUAAAAUUCUUUCACCGGGGACGAUAAUGACGGUACCCGGAGAAGAAGCCCCGGCUAACUUCGUG